GUGCCAGCAGCCGCGGUAAUACGUAGGGGGCGAGCGUUGCUCGGAAUUACUGGGCGUAAAGGGUGUGUAGGUGGCUGGGCAAGUCAAAGAUGAAAUCCCGAGGCUCAACUUCGGAAUUGUCUUUGAUACUGCCCGGCUUGAGGUUGGUUGAGGAGAGCGGAAUUCCCGGUGGAGCGGUGAAAUGCGUAGAUAUCGGGAGGAACACCUGAGGCGUAGGCGGUUCUCUAAACCUAUCCUGACACUGAGACACGAAAGCUAGGGGAGCAAACGGGAUUAGAUACCCCAGUAGUCC
rnacentral:rRNA from 1 species